AAAGCCAAAUGGAUAUAGGUAGGUAGAUAGACACACACAGAAGUUUGAAAAGUUUCAAUGGUUGGCUAGAACCCAGAUCAUUAUAUAAGGAUCUAAUGCCAAAUUCUAUAAGAGCAGCAUUCAAGGCAACGGCACAACUUCCAAGUUAACACAUUGAUUCAAGCAAAUAGGAAAAAUAUCCAGCACAUUCUUCACCAAAUGGUAUUUCCGUCCACUCUCCACUACCCCAAGUUGGUAGAAUUUUACACAAGUCAUCAUGACUCUAAUACAUGCAAACUAAUAGCAAAUUAGCAAUACUGACUGUGAGUACAUGGUCUCGGUUAAAUAUUGUUU
rnacentral:misc_RNA from 1 species